AACGAACGCUGGCGGCAGGCUUAACACAUGCAAGUCGAGCGCCCCGCAAGGGGAGCGGCAGACGGGUGAGUAACGCGUGGGAACGUACCCUUUGCUACGGAAUAGCUCCGGGAAACUGGAAUUAAUACCGUAUGUGCCCUACGGGGGAAAGAUUUAUCGGCAAAGGAUAGGCCCGCGUUGGAUUGGCUAGUUGGUGGGGUAAUGGCCUACCAAGGCGACGAUCCAUAGCUGGUCUGAGAGGAUGAUCAGCCACAUAGGGCAUGAGACACGGUCCAAACACCUACGGGAGGCAGCAGUGGGGAAUAGUGGACAAUGGGCGCAAGCCUGAUCCGGCCAUGCCGCGAGAGUGAUGAAGGCCUUAGGGUUGUAAAGCUCUUUCACCGGAGAAGAUAAUGACGGUAUCCGGAGAAGAAGCCCCGGCUAACUUCGCGCCAGCCGCCGCUGUAAGAC
rnacentral:rRNA from 1 species